UGCCCCACGUCUCAUCUCAGUCUCCCCUCUUUUAGGUUAAACGUUUCCCCCUCCUCAAAGGGCCUUCAGAAAGGAUGACCUUCAAUUCUAGCAAAGAGCAAAUCCAAUUAAAAACACAAAUUUAACACUGGCAGUUGGGAUGUUGGUGUUUGGGAGCUAAUGUUGGGAGGAGAGAGCUGCCAGGUUUAACACACGUCCUUCUGUCUUCCAGGGUCUAUGACACCUCUUCUUUGUCACCGACGGUCAGAGCUCUCAGUACCAUCAGACACAACAACAACACGGGGCGCUGGCUGACGCGGUUCCAGGCGGUGUGGGACCCCCGGCGGGAGGAUUGCUUCGUGGUGGGCAGCCUGGCACGGCCCCGCCAGGUCGAGCUCUUCCGGGACACGGGGGAGCUGCUGCACGCCUUCUCCAGCCCCGACUGCCUCGGCUCCGUCUGCUCCAUCAACGUGCUCCAUCCCACCAAGAACAUCCUGGUGGGCGGCAACUCCAGCGGCCGCCUUCACGUGUUCAAAGAAGAAUAAAAGUGGCUCAGAGAGAGAUUUUUUUUUUUUUUUUUUUGCCUUUUUGCAUUAAAUUUGUUGAAUCUCUAUGAAGCUGUUUCUAAGCGAACUGCAUUUUCUCAGGACAAGAGUAUAUUUUAAAACCUUUAAAAUAAAUCUUCUAAA